rnacentral:rRNA from 1 species
GACGAACGCUGGCGGCGUGCUUAACACAUGCAAGUCGAACGGAAAGGCCCUGCUUUUGUGGGGUGCUCGAGUGGCGAACGGGUGAGUAACACGUGAGUAACCUGCCCUUGACUUUGGGAUAACUUCAGGAAACUGGGGCUAAUACCGGAUAGGAGCUCCUGCUGCAUGGUGGGGGUUGGAAAGUUUCGGCGGUUGGGGAUGGACUCGCGGCUUAUCAGCGUGUUGGUGGGGUAGUGGCUUACCAAGGCUUUGACGGGUAGCCGGCCUGAGAGGGUGACCGGCCACAUGGGGACUGAGAUACGGCCCAGACUCCUACGGGAGGCAGCAGUGGGGAAUAUUGCACAAUGGGCGGAAGCCUGAUGCAGCAACGCCGCGUGCGGGAUGACGGCCUUCGGGUUGUAAACCGCUUUCGCCUGUGACGAAGCGUGAGUGACGGUAAUGGGUAAAGAAGCACCGGCUAACUACGUG